rnacentral:rRNA from 1 species
GACGAACGCUGGCGGCGUGCUUAACACAUGCAAGUCGAACGGAAAGGCCCUGCUUUUGUGGGGUGCUCGAGUGGCGAACGGGUGAGUAACACGUGAGUAACCUGCCCUUGACUUUGGGAUAACUUCAGGAAACUGGGACUAAUACCGGAUAGGAGCUCCUGCUGCAUGGUGGGGGUUGGAAAGUUUCGGCGGUUGGGGAUGGACUCGCGGCUUAUCAGCUUGUUGGUGGGGUAGUGGCUUACCAAGGCUUUGACGGGUAGCCGGCCUGAGAGGGUGACCGGCCACAUUGGGACUGAGAUACGGCCCAGACUCCUACGGGAGGCAGCAGUGGGGAAUAUUGCACAAUGGGCGGAAGCCUUAUGCAGCAACGCCGCGUGCGGGAUGACGGCCUUCGGGUUGUAAACCGCUUUCGCCUGUGACGAAGCGUGAGUGACGGUAAUGGGUAAAGAAGCACCGGCUAACUACGUG